AAUUGGAAAGCGAGGAAAUGAAAAGCAACUGUGUUUGCAUUAACAGAUUCGGAAGGAAUGAUUUUUGCUGAUUUGCAGGAUGAGGUGCUUUUUCUCAUCCUUGUAAUGUGAAAAUAUUUGAGAAUAAUUGUAGUAAAAAAUCUCUUUUACCCCUGAUACAAACGCACAAUUACUCCUCCACUUUCCUCUUGCCCACCUCUCUUUCUUCCACAUGAUAUUUAUCCAAGCAGCAACCCCCAACUUUUCUUCAUCUCCUUAUUUCUAUUUCUUCACCUCCUAAUUUUUAUUAUUCAAAUACAAUUUUUUACUUUAUUUCUCUUCUACUUUCAUUUAUUAUAUAUCUUUUCCAUACUUUAAU
rnacentral:lncRNA from 1 species